AUGCUACUUAUUAGUAGAGUAAGUAUACAUGAAAUUUGUAUAUAGUUCUAGGUAAAAAUUUGAUAAUGACAAAGUUUUAUCUAUUUGUCUUGACCAAAUCUUGUGCCAGCAGUCGCGGCAACACAAGGAAGACAAGUGUUAUUCAUCUUAAAUAGGUUUAAGGGGUACCUAGACGGUAAAUUAGGCCAUAGUAGGUACGUUUUUACUAGAGUUAUACAUAGAUGGGGAUUGUGUCAGUAUUAUCAGAGUAGAGAUGAAAUUUUUUGAUACUGUUAAGACUG
rnacentral:rRNA from 1 species